AAAAAGGCACCUGCUUUUAGGCACAUAGUUUAUAAGUUUUUUAAUGCAUCUUGUCUCCAGUCUCGCAGCUAUUUAAAGCCCACAAUCUUUUUCAAACGCUGUAAGACCCAGUUUCAAAUUCGGUCUCGAGACCCUUAAACACGCAUGAGGAGGAAAGUCUGGUUCUUUAGAGAGAGAAAAUGAGUUUUUAGAGAGAGAAAGAGAGAGAGUUUCUUUUGGUUGUUUUGUGAUGCGCAGUCGCUUUCCCCCUACCUGAUCUACUCAUUUCCAUGCCCCAAGGGCGGGACAAAUCCUGGUUUUGCCUUGCACUCGACCUAUAUAUCAAUGGUCCUCUCUCUUUCUCUCUCUCUCUCUCUUGUUUGAUCUUCAUCUCUUACACUCUCUUCUGGUACCUAUUUGCAUGUUUCAUCUGGAAAGCCCUUCGAAGCCGGAGUCUCUAGUCGAAGAUUAGGGUUCUCCAACAAUAUGUAGAGUAAAGUAUAUGGCUAGGGUUUUUGAAGACGUUUCAAGGGAAACUAGGGUUCGUCUGUUUGGCUUGGCUAAUGGAAAUAGUUUAAUUUUGUAUGUGGUGGUCGUGAUUUCUUGCAAAUGCUUUGUUUGUUUUGUGCAGAGCAAGUGAAGUUCCAGGUUGGCAAGGGAGCUCUCUUCAGUCCACUCAUGGUUGGCAUGAGGGUUGGGUUGGCUGCCGUCUCAUUCAUUCAAAUGCUCAGUGAAUUUGUCAAGAAAGCUAACUCAGUAAUUGUGUGAAUGAUGCGGGAGACAGAUCGAUUCUUUGCCAUCUAUUCUUGGACUGAAGGGAGCUCCCUUCUCUGAUUAUUAUGCUUCUCUCCCUCUCAUACUCCAUGCUUGCUUCUUAUUUUUACCAUGCAAGUCAACCCUAGAUCGAUCUCUCUGUAAGACAUCAUUGUUUGCCUCUAGAUCUCUCUCCCUCUCUCUCUCUCUAAAGCCUUCGGGAGUCUGAUCGAAAAUAAGUGAUUAUGUCGUCGUUCUCAAUAGAAGAUUUCAUUUUGCACAACUUUUAUUCCUACCACUGAAUUACCCAGAGAGGAAAAAAAAAGGAAAAAGGAUUUGAUUUUAUGUAUAUUAUUUUAUUUUUUUCCUUAAUUUUAUGUGGUGGCAUUUAUGGAUAUCGGAUGUAUCGAUGUGCUCAUCUUUUGUGUGGUGGAUGUCGAUUUGUUCGUACAGUCAAAGAGACUGUGGAGCUACAGCAAUAUUUUCGUAGGGUAGCUUAGUUCUUCCUCUAUUUAUAUUAGGGUUUUAUCUCUUGAUCCAAGGGAAGUUUUCUUGUGGAUUAAUUAGUACGGUAGAAUUGAACCUGCACCAUUUAAUAAGUAAAAAAUUACAUGGUGAAACCCUUAUUCUAAGUUUCUUUAACAUGCUUUAUGCUUGCUGGUUCCUGUGAUCUUGUGGAGAGCAAUGAACACUGUGCAAAGGGUUGAAGUAGCAAUGCUUGCUAUACCAGAACUAAGUCCCUCAAGGAAAUAAAUAUGGUGGGAUUCUCUCUCUCUUAGAAUUUAUUGAAUGCAUCCAUCCAUCCAUGUGGGAGGCUAUGUCAUAUGGAUGGAUUCAUCCAUCCAUGUGGCCAAAUACAUGGAACAGGCUCCCACUGUUACUGUAUUACUGUAACGUGUUGGUUUGACUGCUAAUAGUAGUUGCUACAUUGGAUUGAUUUUGAUGGUGCUUAUAUUUCAAGAUCCAAUGGAGGUUUGUGUGGGGGAUGCAUGUUAUGAUGCGGGAUGGAUCACCAUGUCCAUGACCAUGGCCAUGAUGAAUGCCAGGGGAAAUGGAAUCACGUGGGGCGGCCUUGCAUGAGUUGGUAUAACCGCAAGUUCCCAGGAGACAAGCUUGUCGAAUGCUCACCAAGUCCCCAUGCAAUGCAUAACCCAUCCCACACAACGCAUUCCCUUUUAAUUUUUAUUUUAUAUUCAUUCUCUUUCUCUUGAAGCACAGCAGGAAGCUCUACUGUAUCAAACGUGGGGUCUUAGCUGCUUUAACACUCCUAUGUAUAUAACAUGUGAACGAAUAAAUCUUUGCCUCCCUCUCUUUUAA